rnacentral:rRNA from 1 species
UACGUAGGGUGCAAGCGUUAAUCGGAAUUACUGGGCGUAAAGCGUGCGGAGGCGGUUUUGUAAGUCUGACGUGAAAUCCCCGGGCUCAACCUGGGAAUUGCGUUGGAGACUGCAAGGCUAGAAUCUGGCAGAGGGGGGUAGAAUUCCACGUGUAGCAGUGAAAUGCGUAGAGAUGUGGAGGAACACCGAUGGCGAAGGCAGCCCCCUGGGUCAAGAUUGACGCUCAUGCACGAAAGCGUGGGGAGCAAACAGG